UACGUAGGUGGCGAGCGUUGUCCGGAUUUACUGGGCGUAAAGGGAGCGUAGGCGGACUUUUAAGUGAGAUGUGAAAUACCCGGGCUCAACUUGGGUGCUGCAUUUCAAACUGGAAGUCUAGAGUGCAGGAGAGGAGAAUGGAAUUCCUAGUGUAGCGGUGAAAUGCGUAGAGAUUAGGAAGAACACCAGUGGCGAAGGCGAUUCUCUGGACUGUAACUUACGCUGAGGCUCGAAAGCGUGGGGAGCAAACAGGAUUAGAUACCCCUGUAGU
rnacentral:rRNA from 1 species